AUGGCGACGCUCGAGGCGCCAGAGAGGCAAGUGGAUGACUUCGCCGGAGUCAAGUGGAUGAUGAUGGCAGUAUUCCGGUUUUCUGCGAUGAUGUACAUUGCCGUGGGGUCCUGCCUUGAUUCUUUCCUUCGUUUAACUGACUUCACAGGUCUCCCCCUCUUUUGUUCACCAUCCACACCACCGUUCACACCAUUAUUGACUCCGGAAGAACUCAGCCAUUUUGAAGCACAGAAGGUGUCCCUCACUAGUCUGAGCAGCAGCCGUCACUCUGGAUACAAGCUCAAAGCCGCAGCCUCAGUUAGGUUAACAGGGCAGCCAUUCCGUGUGAGCGGCUGA
rnacentral:rRNA from 1 species